AUUGAACGCUGGCGGCGUGCUUAACACAUGCAAGUCGAUCGGUAACAGGUGUAGCAAUACAUGCUGACGAGAGGCGGACGGGUGAGGAAUAUUUGGGAAUCUGCCCAUCAGCGGGGGACAACCCGGGGAAACCCGGGCUAAUACCGCAUACGCUCUACGGAGGAAAGCCGGGGACCGCAAGGCCUGGCACUGAUGGAUGAGACCAAAUCGGAUUAGCUAGUUGGCGGGGUAACCGCCUACCAAGGCGACGAUCCGUAGGUGGUCUGAGAGGACGAUCAGCCACGCCGGAACUGAGACACGGGCCGGACUCCUACGGGAGGGAGCAGUGGGGAAUAUUGGACAAUGGGGAAUCCCUGAUCCAGCGACGCCGCGUGGGUGAAGAAGGCCUGCGGGUUGUAAAGCCCUUUCGGUAGGGACGAAAGCUCUUGCUCUAAUAAUGCAAGAGGUGGACUUAACCUACAUAAGAAGCACCGGCUAACUCUGUGCCAGCAGCCGCCGUAA
rnacentral:rRNA from 1 species